rnacentral:rRNA from 1 species
GUGGGGGGUACACGAGCGGCGAACGGGUGAGUAACACGUGGGUGACCUGCCCUGUGCCACUCUGGGAUAAGCCCGGGAAACUGGGUCUAAUACCGGAUAGGACCUCGUGUGGAUGCAUGUCUGGUGGUGGAAAGUUUUUUCGGUGGGGGAUGGGCCCGCGUGGGCCUAUCAGCUUGUUGGUGGGGUGAUGGCCUACCAAGGCGGUGACGGGUGUGAGCCGGCCUGAGAGGGCGACCGGCCACACUGGGACUGAGACACGGCCCAGGUGACUCCUACGGGAGGCAGCAGUGGGGAAUAUUGCGCAAUGGGCGGAAGCCUGUGGACGCAGCGACGCCGCGUGGGGGAUGACGGCCUUCGGGUUGUAAACCUCUGUGUUCGCCAGGGACGAAGCUUUUGUGACGGUACCUGGAUAAGAAGCACCGGCGUGCAACUACGUGCCAGCAGCCGCGGUAACACGUAGGGUGCGAGCGUUGUCCGGUGGAAUUAUUGGGCGUAAAGAGCUCGUAGGCGGUGUGUCGCGUCGGCCGUGAGUGAAACUUGGGGCUUAACUCUGAGCGUGCGGUCGAUACGGGCAUCACUUGAGGUGUUCGGCAGGGGAGACUGGAAUUCCUGGUGUAGCGGUGAAAUGCGCAGAUAGUGUCAGGAGGAACACCGGUGGCGAAGGCGGGUCUCUGGGCCGAUACUGACGCGUGUGAGGAGCGAAAGCGUGGGGAGCGAACAGGAUUAGAUACCCUGGUAGUCCGUGACGCCGUAAACGUUGGGCGCUAGGUGUGGGGUG